UGGAAUUUAAGUAGGUUUACUUUAAGUACCGUAACACGUUCAAUCGAAUAACUGACUGGUACUGGAAGUCAUUGUCAGUUUUGAUAUGAAAAUUGAGUUGCAACAUGAACUUGAUCACGUUCAGAUGCGGAUUACCUGGCUAUAAAAUUAAACUACUUACCUGGAAUAUUUGCCAUCCCCAAUCCUGGUAAGUUUUAUUACCUGUCAAGUACCACAUGUAGAACAGGGUCUCCAGAAAUUCUGGGCGCAGCAAAUUAUGGGCAUCAUUUGCCUUCACGUACAUGUCUAAUUGAUUAGCAUCACCUUCCAAUGGCUUCUGCAAGGUGAGAGGAAUCGAUCAAUACUGACACAACGCACUCAAAUAUAAAGUGCAAGGAAUGUCGGCUGAACAGCAUAAGUUUGGUAACAAGUGCGCACAAGCUCUUCGGCCAACUUCAUGUGGUCGGAUUGGAGGCCGUUGUGUGCUCCCAGAGCCAAGGUUCCUCCCAAAAAGCAUACCAAAUGGUCCUGCAUAAUCGAGAUAACGGUAAAAAGUUUGAACACACUGCUUCAAAUAUUCAAAUGUCUGUAACCACUGCUUCAACAAGUAUUCAUAGUAACUGUCCCCUCGUGCGCCGAACGAGAUUGUUGACAAUUCUCUAAACGCUCCAGUGUUGGCGUUUAUAAAAAUUGGAACAAGUCCGUCGAAUUUCUUCAACUGAU